ensembl:lncRNA
AGUGUGCCCACAACAAUGCCAUUAACCAACAGUUAAAAACCCAAGAAGAUGGAGCAAGGAAACCGAACUUGCCCGGGGACAGACAAAGCUGAGCAGUCACGUGUCCCGGCGCGCCGUGACGUCACCGGCCCGCGACCCAGCCAUUGAUUCCGACAGAGGGAGCGAGCGCGGCGGAGCUGGCAAGACGGGGCGGGGGGGGAGGCCCGGCAGCCUCCGGGAGGGCGCGCGUCCGGAGCGGCUGCGAGAUCCGGUGGUUUUGUCAUCAAACCUCAGGCAGUUUUGAAGCAAACCAGAUCAUCUCAGUGUCAUUAUUAUUCUACAGACCUCAAGACCACACCCAUCACUUUUCCAUAAGUCUUUUACAUUCCUGCAGUUAUCAUGAGAAAGCCCUGCUAAGUAUAACAGACCUAUGAAUGCUUUCAGUUCAGCUAGUGAGGUGUCAUAAUAAACACAUUUUUGAGUAUGGUUAUUGGUGCAUAUGGAUUGUUUUACUUGUAUUUCAGCAUUUGUGUAUUUCACAAUAUCUUGUAGCAUUUAGUCUGCUCCAAACAAUUUCCAACAUUGAAUGGCAGUGCUGGUAUUCCAUCCAAUAGGUUUCACCCCUGCCAAGAUCCUUACUGUAUUUCAAACCUAGUUCUAACAUCAGAUUGUUCCAUUUGGCUGUGUGACCAUUUUGUACCAUUCAACUAGUCAAAUAUGUACUCACAUUGUUUUCUUCAUCAUCUGAAUCAAGGGGGUCUGUAUUCCUUGUGUCUGUAUCGGUCAGUUCUUCCUCUAUUUAAUUGUCACAGGACCUUUGGCUCACAUGGCCUACAUCAAAGCCAUUAUCAUCUUCGUCAUCCGUACAUGAAAUCACCUGAUGAUUCACUUUUAACCUUUUCCAAAACUUGCAAAUCUGAUUUUUCAUGUGCCAUUGUACUGAACUGGGCUACUUCAACCAGAAAAAUCAAAAGAAAACUUUUUUAAAAACAAGGUCCUAAAUACACAGAAAUUUGACAGUGAGCAUUUUGUGGGUAAAACUCACUUGUUGCUGCUUUGGAGCUCCUGUACACACCUUGUGCUGCUUUUGUAUACUCACAGAGGAAGCUGAGUCAGCUAGAACCAGCUUGGCUUGCCAUUUGUACUCUGGCCUUCACGUGCUGAGAACAGGGGCUACUGCAGGCCAUGUAUGGACCCUUAUUCCAGUGCUGCCCACAUCACCAGCUGAGGCUGACAUGUGCUUACCAGUCCAGUAGCCUUGCGUGACAGCACCACCAGAUCCCGCCUUCUCAGGCCUCUACAGCUUUGAGUCAGGAAUUGCACUCCUGGUCCAGCUACUCUUGAGUCUGUCCUGGGCGAGGGGCAAGGGGUGAGGUGACAUGACAGCCUUAUAGGCCUGUGCCCAUGCUUUACCCUCUUGUGUCCACAUCUUCUCAGAGCCAUAGCCACUGUAAGUUGGUCACACCCCUCUGGCACUGCCUACAGUGAAUAGGCUUCUAGCACCAUUGGGCACUGGCUGCCACACCUCCCUUUGUAUCCGUGCCUAAUGCUGCACAAGUUCUUAAGGUGACCCGUGCAGGAAGACACUAUGCCAGUUAAAAUAACUUGAAAGAAAACAAGUUCCUCCCUCUUGUUCUCCAGAAUCAAAGCCUAGCUCUUAAAGUCAAUUAAUAAAAAAAAGAAAAAAGAAAAAGGGAAAGAUGGUGGCAGAUGACGCAAGCCCAUGUAAUAGUCAUGUAACAAGACAAGAUGGCAGCCAGCCAUGUUGCAAGACAAUAUGGUGGUGCCCCAGACGAAAACAGACAAACGUGAUAGAAAAAACAUUUACAAACUAGGGUAAGCAGAGACGAGGCUAAUAAAAAACAAGCACACUGACGACAAAGCAUCUACUUAACUUGUAUACAUGGAGUGAGCACAAGCAAGACAAAAAAUCUAUGGCCGGAAGAAAAACAAAAUUCGUGCAUUCCCUAUCCUGACCUCCAUGCAGUGGGGCAAGGAAAACCUUCCCUGGCACCUUGAGAAGAGUCCCCUGAUUCCCAGCCUAUGGGAGAGAAUGAGAGAAAGGAAAAAGCCUCGAGGAGAAAAAUAUUAUGCCCUACGGGCCUUACCUUCGUCCCUUGGUCCCUGAGCUUUUCUCAUGGCUGGCUAUGCCAAAUGUUAUUGGGUAGCUCCUUUUAGAAAUAUUUCACCAAAUAAAGUUAUUGGGUUUGGGGGUGCUCACCUCUUAGUUUCCAGGUCCUUCUCAUCUUGAACAAAGAAUUGAACAAGAUAAGCAAAAAUGGUGACAGGUUUUAUUUGAAAAAGUGAAGGUGGAGGGUAAGGGAGAAACUGGCUCUGCAGAGCAAACUUGGGCCAAACAAAGGAGAAGAAAAGUCAAAAGCAAAUGGGGACACAGGGCAGGCUAUUGUGAAGAGGUGUGGUAGCAAGCUCUUCGUGGUGUCUGUGUCCUUAUUCCAUACACACCUUGCAGGGACCUGUGAGAAGUCUGUAUGGGGCCUUGGGAAUCAUUUGGUGCAUGCCCUGGGAUCUUGUACUUAACAGGUCCCACUUAUUCCCUCAGCCAGUUUUGCUACACCCUAACUUCCUGCCUCGGGCAUCGAAAGGAAUGGGACCAAAGGAAGAGGAAAGUCCAGCAGAGCAAACAUUAAGUCCCUUAGUUCCAUGCCCAGCACCCAGGGCAAUCUGGUGAUAUUCAAACUCUAUAAAGAGUUUGGGUGGCCCUGCCCCUGAGACACAGCCAAUGGUUGUGGCCCUCAUGGCUUCUCUCUCAGGCCAGCUUUGCCCAUUCCUUGUGGCUUUCCACAGACGCCCCACAUUCCUGGCUUCUCCAGCUUUCUGGGGUCUCCACUGCAUUUUUGACUUCACACACAGCCCUCUCACAGGCACAGCGCCUGGCCUCCCAGGCCUUCUUCUGAAACCUGGGUGGAAGCCUUCCCGAGCCCGCAACUCUUGCAUUCUGCAUGCACCAGAAACUGGCAUUCUUAUCUUCUGAGCUCUGACCAGAAUCUCCCAUCAAGCUUGGCUCACCGCAUUCCAGGGCUGCUUCUCUAGCCGGCACCUCCAAACCUUUCCAAACGCCUCCCUCAAGCCAGUUCCAAAGGCUUCUGAACCACGUGUUCAGGUAGUGGCAGCGGUAGUCUGACUUAUGGUGCCAAAAUUUGUCAUGAUUACUUUCUCACUGCUGGAACAAAAUACCUAACAUCCACAAGUUAAAGGAGAGGUUUAUUUUGGCUCACAGUGGGUAGAGGUUUCAGGCCAUAGGCAGCAGCAAGGAAGGCUAUACUGUAUACCUUGUAGGCCACGCCCACCAUGACACUGCUGUCUUGGUUACUUUUUUCAUUACUGACACCCAACGUUAAAGGUGGAAAGGUUUAUUUAGCUCAGUUUAUAGAGGUUUCAGUUCAUAGUUGGCUGGCUCCAUGGCAGGUUGGCAUGGCAGGGGGACCCUGCAGAGGAAAAACAGUUCAUGGCAGGCAGAAGGUAGCAAGCUACAAGUGACCAGUGAUGACACUAGCCUUCUUUAUGUCCCUUAUAGUUUAUCCAGGCUGCCUGCCCUUAGGGGUUCCCAGGGUGGGGCACCCAUAGUCCUAUCCAGAACUGUGCCAAACCCAUCAGUGGACUGCUUUAGUAAUCACACAUCUGUAAUCCCACCAUCACAUGCUCUAGAUCCAGCCACCUCUGAAAAGACCCCACCUGAGUUGGGGGACUCUAGACACAAACCAUGGCAACCUCUUCCCUCUCCCAGCAUCACACUCAGCUGUAAACCCAGCAGUGGACUAUCCAGUAUCUCACACCCAGGAUUCAGUCACCUCCCCAAAGCCCCACCUAAGCAUGUGAGGCUCAGGUGGGACAUCUGGUUACAGGUCGUCACAGCCACUGCUCAGACAUUGUCCUAUGGGUCUCGCGUGCAGUAAUGGGCUGGCUAGCUCACAGGUGGAGCAGUUCCACAUUGGUUGAAUGAGGAACUCAGCCCUCUACUGUACCAUCCUCAGGAUGUCAUGACUUGCUCACAGCAGAGAACCCUGCCAUAGAAAGCCCUGACAGACCUUUGUGUGGUUUGGUGGCCACAGUUGUAUCUGGUGCAUCAUUGCCCAGAGGAGUGGAAUGCCACGCCUGGGUGAGACCAGGCCACUCAGUGCCCUCUGACCCUGAAGGAGCCAGCUGUCUCCUGGGAAGGGAGGCAGAGUCAGGCCUGGUGCUGGGGGAGGCGGCCUGCAGGUCUAGCGCUCAAAUUGUUUUUCCAAGAUGCAG